AUUGAACGCUGGCGGCAGGCCUAACACAUGCAAGUCGGGCGAGAGGCGGACGGGUGAGUGAUGUAUGGGGACCUGCCUGAUGGAGGGGGAUAACUAGUGGAAACGGUAGCUAAAGCCGCAUAACAUGAGAUGAACCCAUAUGGGAUUAGCUGGUGGGUAAGGUAACGGCUUACCUAGGCGACGAUCCCUAGCUGGUCUGAGAGGAUGAUCAGCCACACUGGGACUGAGACACGGCCCAGACUCCUACGGGAGGCAGCAGUGGGGAAUCUUGCACAAUGGGCGAAAGCCUGAUUCAGCAAUGCCGCGUGUAUGAAGAAGGCCUUCGGGUUGUAAAGUACUGUCAGUCGGGAGGCGGUACCGAAAGAGGAAGCAACGGCUAACUCCGUGCCAGCAGCCGCGGUAAUAC
rnacentral:rRNA from 1 species